rnacentral:lncRNA from 1 species
UUUGUUCAUACUCUAUUCUUUUCUGUUAUGUCUUACUUCAACUUAAGCUCAAACUUAAUUAUUAUUCAAAAAAUUAUUGUCAUCAUCUAAAACAUUUCAAGAUCAACGUGCACCCCAUUCCAACUCUUAAUUUUCUCUUUCAUUUUUCUAUUGCAAUUUGAUUCUCUAUUUUGACCAUUUUGUUGUUUGCAUUUUAGUUCUUAUCUCUUUCUCUUCCACCUCAUUUAUCCACAAAAAUUAGAGACAGUGUCACCAGAAAAAAAAGAAGAAAAAAAAUAUACCCUUUUGUUUAUUUACCUUGGAGAAUGUAAAAAGGUGAUUUAUUUAUUUAUUUAUAUAACGGUAAUUUGGAAAUGAGUGGUAGUUAAAAUACUUGGCUAGAACUAAAAGUUCUUACAGAUAGAUUUUCCGGGAAAAUUUUCAUGUGGGGUUUCUUGUUUGGAGGUCAACUUGCUACUGAGGAGUUAAGAAGAUUCCAGAAGCAUUUAUAGAA